ACAUUACCCGACGCGGGUCAAAGUGCAGUAUCUGUUCUUAUGAGCUUAAUAUCUGAUACCGGUUGUAUUUGGACCCAAGGUGGUAAACAUAUUUUUGCAAGGUGGCGGAGUGUUUGAAGUCUGCUUCACCUCCGCCGCUGGUCGGCCCGGUAUUGCGCUAUCUCCGGGAUCGGCCCACGGUUU